UACGGAGGGUGCAAGCGUUAUCCGGAUUCACUGGGUUUAAAGGGUGCGUAGGUGGGCAGGUAAGUCAGUGGUGAAAUCUCCGGGCUUAACUCGGAAACUGCCAUUGAUACUGCUUGGCUUGAGUACAGAUGCUGUGGGCGGAAUAUGACAUGUAGUGGUGAAAUACAUAGAGAUGUCAUAGAACACCGAUUGCGAAGGCAGCUCACAAAACUGUAACUGACGCUGAGGCUCGAAAGUGUGGGGAUCAAACAGG
rnacentral:rRNA from 1 species